GACGAACGCUGGCGGCGUGCCUAAUACAUGCAAGUCGAGCGAAGUUUUUCUGGUGCUUGCACCGGAAAAACUUAGCGGCGAACGGGUGAGUAACACGUAAAGAACCUGCCUCAUAGACUGGGACAACUAUUGGAAACGAUAGCUAAUACCGGAUAAUAGCAUUAACUGCAUGGUUGAUGUUUAAAAGUUGGUUUUGCUAACACUAUGAGAUGGCUUUGCGGUGCAUUAGCUAGUUGGUGGGGUAAAGGCCUACCAAGGCGACGAUGCAUAGCCGACCUGAGAGGGUGCUCGGCCACACUGGGACUGAGACACGGCCCAGACUCCUACGGGAGGCAGCAGUAGGGAAUCUUCCGCAAUGGGCGAAAGCCUGACGGAGCAACGCCGCGUGAGUGAAGAAGGAUUUCGGUUCGUAAAGCUCUGUUGUUAGGGAAGAAUGAUUGUGUAGUAACUAUACACAGUAGAGACGGUACCUAACCAGAAAGCCACGGCUAACUACGUG
rnacentral:rRNA from 1 species